GCUCAAUUAUCAGAGGUGUUAGUCAACUGUUAAAUCUGAGGAUUGAGCAGUCCAAAGGCCAGGGAUGGGCAGGCCCAUCUUCCCUUCCUGCUGCAAAGCCUCUGCUAAGGCUCAGGAGCUGCUCCUUCUCUGCCUGUGGGUACUAUGGCAGUACAUUCUGGCAACAGGCUGGAAAGGAGCUGCCACGGGAUGUCCACCCACCCUGAGUGGGAACCUCCUCCUGAGGGACACACAGGGGGAAAAAAGCACCUCCUCUGCCUGCUCCAGUCCUCAGUGUGAGCCACCAACCACUCAGAACCAAGUGUGAAUAAACAGGAGUCUCCAGUAUGACCCUGUGAUGAUUUACUGAAUCGUUACUACAUGUAAGUAUCUACAAGCAGGAGCACCAACUCUCCAAUGCCAGCUGAUGAAUUCAAACAUGAACUGAAGUUUUAAAAACACUGAAGCCUGGGCAGUGUUUUUAACAAGAUGGAUUGGCAGUUUUAAUAAUUCCCAGAUCCCAAACACAUAUGAAAAGAGCCCUUGAUGAGAAAGGUCUGAUUACAAAUAACCUGCAGAGAGAUGAAAGUUCGUUUUUAAUAUCUGUUUUUUUAAGUCUGCUUUAGACUUUCAAGAGGCUUCAAAAGAAGGCAAAGACUAGAAAACAGUUUGAUUUAAUACUGUUAGAUGUGUGAAAUAAAAUGCUGGACAAUAAGAGAUGUAAAACA
rnacentral:lncRNA from 1 species